GCUCAGAAUAUUAUCUAUAGUCCUUGAGGAGGAACUAAAGGUCCUUGGCUAUGCUUAGUGGCUGAACUAUUAUUAUUUAGUCUUGUUGGACUGUUUUCUUUUGCUUCUGCAUUUUCUCACUUCUCUGAUUACAUUUAUUCUUUGGCUAAAAUUUUCCCACAAAUGGAAGACUGAGGACAUGAGACACAAGGCCAUAGAGUACUGCUCCCUUUAGAAAAUGGUAAGACGAAGCUUUCAGCAAGGAGAGUUUAUUUAUAAGGCAGCCAAGCUGACAUGAAAGAACAAAUCUCAAGACCCCCUCCCCCAAAGCAAGGGGCUUGAGGUAUUUAAGGGAUACGGAAUAAAAUAACAGAGGGGUCUGAGGCCUGGGGAGAGUGGCAACAGGUGAUUGGAAAAAGGUGCGAUAACCCUCCUUCUGCGCAGGCGUAAUUAAGAUACGCUCCUCUUCACAUUCCGAAGGUUACUCAGAGGAGCCUUAUAGGAAAUGGCCUGGAGGUGGAUUCUUUACCAGCUGAGCUACCAGGACACCUCAAACUCUUCUAGUUUCUGCUAUUAUUUGAAAGAACCAGGGCACUAGAAAAGAGAUUGUUACAAAUUACUGGAACUGAUUUUGAAAACACUGAUCACUUACCCCUAUUGAAUCUUCUACCAUCUUCCUUGUGGAAAAAAAUCUCCAACUGAUAUUGGCAAGAUCACAGUGCACCCCCCAUCAAGAUUCAAAUAGAUCUCUUAAAACCUCUUCCCAGAAUUAGUCAAUACUCUUUGAGUAAAGAAGCCCUUCAAGGCAUAAAGCUCAUAAU
ensembl:lncRNA